GAUGAACGCUGGCGGCGUGCCUAAUACGUGCAAGUCGAGCGAACAGAUGAGGAGCUUGCUCCUCUGACGUUAGCGGCGGACGGGUGAGUAACACGUGGAUAACCUACCUAUAAGACUGGGAUAACUUCGGGAAACCGGAGCUAAUACCGGAUAAUAUAUUGAACCGCAUGGUUCAAUAGUGAAAGACGGUUUUGCUGUCACUUAUAGAUGGAUCCGCGCCGCAUUAGCUAGUUGGUAAGGUAACGGCUUACCAAGGCAACGAUGCGUAGCCGACCUGAGAGGGUGAUCGGCCACACUGGAACUGAGGCACGGUCCAGACUCCUACGGGAGGCAGCAGUAGGGAAUCUUCCGCAAUGGGCGAAAGCCUGACGGAGCAACGCCGCGUGAGUGAUGAAGGUCUUCGGAUCGUAAAACUCUGUUAUUAGGGAAGAACAAAUGUGUAAGUAACUAUGCACGUCUUGACGGUACCUAAUCAGAAAGCCACGGCUAACUACGUG
rnacentral:rRNA from 1 species